AUGUAUUAUGCAUAUCUAUUAACAUUUUAAAAAACAGUUUCACUAAUUGUUUCCUUGUUUAAAAAGGAGGGAGGGUUCCUAUUUGAAAACUAAUAGUAUAUACUCAUUCGAAGUAUAAGGGUUAACAAUUUAAAAUAAAAAACAGGAAUUGAAUAUAUUUAAAAUUCUCUGUGAAAAUCAUUGGCUUAUGUUAAAUGGAUCAUUUCAUAUAACAUAUGUAUACAGGAACACACUGUUGUCCAGAGAUAUACCUGGAAAAUAUUUCCAGGAAGGAAGAAUUCAAAUUCUCUAGUCUCCUUUCCUAUGAACAAAGCUCUGCUAUCCCUAUUUUACAUAAGCACCUUUGCAUAUUAUUUAUUUGUAAAAAUGUGAAAAUUAAAAAUGACAUUGUAUUGCAGAUAUUUACAUUUUUUUGAAAACAGUGUGUCCCACCGGAUUUUUCUUGUGGCGUUAAUAUUAUAUUUUUUUCGGUUUUUUUUUUCAAUGGGUUUGUCCAAUUGAGGGGGACAGGGAUUUGGAUAAAAAUUAAAUUUUUAUUUUCAUACACUAACCACAAAAAAAAAAUAACUUUAUUUAUCGAAUAUGAAUGCGUGAUAAAUACAAUUUUUUUGAAAAAUGGUUAUUUUGAAAAUUUUCUAAAUUGAAUAAAUAAAUAGUUAAUUUUUUUUUUGUGUUUAGGGGGUGAAAUAAACAUUUAAUUUUUCUACAAAUCCAAAUCGAUGUCCCCCUCGAAGACAAACCGAUUGGAAAAAAAAAAUCGAAUGCAAUUUAAUAUUAACUGCACUAGAAAAAUCCAUCGAACAUGAUGGGUCUAAUUAUUUCAACUUAUCUAAUAUUGUCAUAUUAAAUAUCUAUCUACACUUUAUUUAAGGUUAACUGGUUGGGUAUAACUCAAUUCAAUAAUAUGCGGAUUAAGCUCAGAGUUAAAACGUUGAAAAUCUUAUAUCUAAGUUAUACUGAUUAUUAUUAUUAUUAUUUUAUUAUGCAAAUGAAUGUAAUGUUGAUUGAUUUGUUUAAUUAUUUUUAAUUUAAUAAAGUAG